CGUAACUACUAGACAAUUUUUCAAAAUCAGCCCUGCGUUACAACUUGCAGUUCCAGGUCGCGAAUUCUCCCUGAGCCAAAAGGGAAGAACUGCAACAAAUCAAACGGAACCCUUAUUUAGUCAAUCAAAAGCGGUGCAGUAACUCAGUUAUAAGAUUUAAUUGUAUCAGGAUGCUCCUUUCAUCGACCGUCGACGACGACAUAUAGCCUUUCCGAUAAUGGAACAGACUGGCCGACGGUGCACUGAGCUGCAAAAUCCCAAGAGAUAUGUUCGGACCCCCCAUACACGACCUUCAGAUUGCUGCUUGUUGCAGUCCGGAGACAACGAGGUACGGCGAUGCACCGUAUAGUUAGCAGCAAAUAAGUAGGACUUGUAGCAUAUAUUGGUAUCUUAAAAGGAACUGAAGGAAUAGCCUGCACUCUGUCUGAGAAGGCUGACUAGGCCACGCAAGCUGUCGUGGGAUAACUACCUAGAUCAGUAUACAUAUAUAGAUGCUCUCACGGCGGAACACAUUGACGUAAGGGUACUGAUAGCUUCAGUGUCGGGCCGAUACAUCAUAAUAAAACUCUGAGCGAAUUGCACAGGAGCAGCGUGUCUCCACUCGGAUUAUUGGCAAUCUGUUACGACGACCCGACCGGUUAGUGGACCUGUUAAGUCAGUGUCAGAACAAUGAGUGCGUAUGCAG